GCUCAACCAGCCCCCACAGCAGUGGGAGAGGAGGAGACAACAGUAAGCGUGAGCAAUGUCGUUUCCCCCUCCCUCCUCCUCCUCCUCCUCUCCUCCCUCUCAUUCUCAUGCUCCUUCUCCUUCAUUGCCACGGCCAUCAGAAUCCAUCCUCCCUCUCUCGCCAUCAUUCUGCUUGGUUAUGCAAUGCACAUUCCUCCCACAGAGACUAACUGGUGUUGGAGACCUACCGUAACACUGCUGUCACAGGCGAUAGGUGCAGCUCCAUAUUGCCAUAGCGACUGUCUGGCGCUCCAGCUGCCUCUGCCUCUCAAUAGACGUCUGCUCCGUGGGAUAUUACAGCUUUUCCUCCUCUUCUGGAAUAUCACCAGCCAGACUCGACUAAUUCAGGGACGUGUCCGUUCUUACCUAGCUCAGCGGAGGCUGGGUGUCACCGAGACACUAUCAGCUGAUCCUACAGACAUAAUCAUGCACAGCGUUGGACUGGAUGGCAUGGGAGCUUCAGUGAUGGGCAAGGGGUUUUUUUGAAAGGCAGUAAUUAUACUGUUCCCCAGAGGAAUAAGAAGCAAGCAGAAGGGAGCCUACAGAUUUAGUGAUAGUGGAGAGGGAGGUGGAGGAGUUGUGUGGAGGAGUUUAGGCUAAGCGGUGACAGGGAACUCAACAGAGAGGGCAGACAGAGAGGAUGGGAGGAACGGCGGGGAGGCGGGAGGGGCAAAUGGGGAGAGGGUAUAUCCUCGCCCCAUCAAAACAGGCUGCUAGCGCUUUAGCAGCAGCAACGCAAACCUGCUGAUAAAAAAAAGGACUGCGAAGACUUGUGAGGGGGAACUUAAUCGAAAGGGAAGUUGGGGGGGUGGGGGGUUGUUGAACCUGACAGGUGGCGCUACAGACUGGGGGAGUGGAGAAGUGACACAAGAAGGUUUUCACUGAAGCGCUACUGAGCACCGUGAAGUCAUCGUGGCACUACUACCUUCUAUUCCUCUCUCCGUCACUUUGUCUGUCGCUCGCAGGCACUGGGACUGUGGCUACACAGCCAUUCUCUACCCCUUUGUCCCCCGGGGUCUCCACAUGUAGCAUGCCCUUACAGCCAUGGUUUUCCAGUGAGGAUCCAAAAAGCAUGCCGGAUGAUGUUGUCUUACACCUUAGACGCCUUAGGAUAAGUGUCCCCUUACCAGGUUAGGUGAGCAUCAGGAUCAUGGGCACCACGGUUAUCACCCUUGAGGACGUGCGGGCACUGGAGGUCAAGGAGGAGCAGGAGGAGUCCAUCUUGGCCAUGUUAGGCAUCAUCGGCACAUUCCUUAACCUCUUUGUGAUCGUUUUUGUUUACAUCUACACCACGCUGUGAAGUGCCAAAGAUAAGGGACUUCUAAAAACCUGCCAUCAGAAAAGACUUCCACAAGGAAAGAGGAAGUGAGCAUAAGUGAAGGACAAGUCCAUUAGAAAGUCAGUUAGAGUCAAGUUUGACAUGAACAUCUUCCCCCAGGUGAGGAGGAAGAAACUGGACAGGCUACAUAAGGAUGAAGACAAAGAAGCCAUAUUGCCAGGUCACAGCCAUGAGCUGGGGAGAUAACAAAGGGCUGGAAGACAUGGCAGAGACAGGGCCAUGCUGGUACCAGGGUGAGCAGGGACAGAUGGACAUGAGCAAGCCUUAAGCCAGGACUGACCCCCCUGUGGCUUGACGGGAAAUACAAACUUCCACUUGAUCUCAUUUUCUCAGACUGCUGGACUCAUUGGAACGAUGAGCCAAACAAGACAGUCUUGUGGACAACACUGAUGCUUUUCCAUUCAUUUUUACUUAAUUUUCAAGUUGGUGGGACUGUAAUUGCUACUUGAAUGGAAGGGCUUUUAAACAUCAUGAUUAAAAGCAGAAAGAGAACUAAUAACUAUGCUGUGAAGCUUCUCUGGGGACACUAUUGGCCACCAUAUUCAAUCAGUCUUCAGAGCCAAAAAUGUUACACUGUAGCUUCAGGGCCCCUGUCAAAAAGUAGCCUUCCUCAGAAACAUGGCUCUGGACGAGCUCUGUUGUACUGUCAUCUCCUAAAAUUCCUGCAGUUUCAAAAAUGCCCUCAUUCCACAAAUAAAAACCAUCAACAAGAAAUGCCCAUUUAGGGAAAAUAUGUGCAACAGCUUCAACAUCAUGUUGAGGGUGAAUUUCUGCAGAAACUUCCAAAAAGUGAAAAUACCCCCAGCAAGGGAUAUUUUUAAACACUGAAAACAGGUCUGAUAAAUCAGCAAGACAUCAAAGAAUGAAAUCAACUUGUUCUUAAACCAUGAUUUACAUGUAAGAUGAAACUGGGCCAAUCUUUCUGUUUCUGCAUCUCUGUCCACAUUUUGAAGUUGGUGAGUGGGAAGGGGGUUUGGAAGAUUCUCUGAAUUUUUUUGUUCAUGUUGAUUUCAGGUUAGUGUCAGCAAUCCUUUUCCUGUAUCAAAAACGCUUUUUAUAAAUAUUUGUAAAGUCUAGAUGUAUUGUGCAAUAGGGGACAUUUGAACAAUAAACAUCAGAGCAUAUCAAUAA